GGAUAUGUGGCUUUUGCGAGUUCUGUAGAUCGUUAGAACAGUUCUGAUUAUGUUCUCUUCAAAAGCACUUUCCUAUACAUUCCGACACGUUUAGGACACAAACAUGGGGCUGACAUUUGAAUUUGACCAAAAAACGAUUUUAGGGCAAGGGGCUUAUGGGCCAGUUUUCGCCGGUGAAUGGAAUAAUGUAACUGUGGCCGUCAAACGUAUUCAACUCCACGACCUACAGAGUGAUCGAGAAGAAAGCACCAUGAAAGACCUUAACCACCGGAAUGUGGUCAAGCUCUAUGCUGUUGAAGAGGACGAGAAUUUCAAGUAUUUAAUUUUGGAACGUGGACUAGCAACAGUGAAUGAUUACUGUAUAGGCAAGUACAAUGGCAGAAUGCCUGCUGAUCCUGCCACACUGUACCAAAUGGCCGACGGGUUGUCCUAUAUCCACGGCAGGGGCUUGGUCCAUCGUGACAUAAGCACUGGAAACGUGCUAUUCGCCUUAAACGGUGACGAAGUGGUAAUGAAAAUUGCCGAUUUCGGAUUUUGUAAACCUGCUUCAGAAAAUGGAAGUUUCUCGAUGAGUGAAGGUGCUAAAGGAACUAAACGUUUUCUUGCUCCUGAAUUAUUGAGGAUCAUGGGAAGUAGUCAUGAAAAACCGCGUGGCAAGAUCACCAGCGACAUUUUCUCUUUGGGUUGCCUCUUUUUUGUUUUCCUCACCAAGGGCAUUCAUCCUUUCUCCGAUGGUUCUAUUCACACGAUUUCAUUAAACAUACUUAGCAACAAUCAGUUUUUAGGAAGCUUGGAGGAGAGACACAAUUACGCCUUACCUUUGAUUCAAGGCAUGAUUGAAGCAGAUCCCGAAAAAAGACUUACGAUGGAGAACGUCAAAGGGUCUCUGAAAUUAUACAUUGAUGCAUAAAAUUUGGUUUGGCUUCCGAUGUUGUUGAGCAUCAUUGUCAAACAGACGUGCAAAAUGAUCGCCUAUCCUCCACGCUUACAUGUGUCCUUGCAUAUAUCACCUCCAGCUAUGGAACUUUAGAGUCGUGGGACGGAAAACUCGAGAAGAUCGUCUCUGUCGUUUUCUCUUUGGAUGCAAAAGCGUAGUUUGCUGCCCCAUCCUUAUUGUCUCAAACACCAACAGGGUCAUAUUCUCAGUUUUCCAUUCUGCUACAUUUCAGUCAGAAUUUGAAUCGCUCAAAGAGAAUACUGUAGUUUUUUGUUCCGCCAUUCGUACAUGAAUCCUGUUCUUGAUAAGGUUUAGCUGAGAUGAAGGCUAGAUAUACUCAGCUGAUCAGUGUAGAAUUGUCUUCAUUAUUUUCACAGCUACAAAGGUGCUUCAGCUGCUACCAGUUGGAAUUGUCCUGAACGUUAAGGUAGUACUAGCCAAAAUUCUUCUUUAUUCAAACUAGAAUAAUAGCCGUUGCAAAAAAUAAUAUUUAAGUAAAAUUUCUGCUUGUUGUUCGGAAUUUUUACUUAGAGUUUUGUCACACCACGACGAUAAUAUCAUAGUAGACUGCUGAUACAUUUGUAUAAACUACUAACUUGAUUGAAAGCUUUGUAAGCCGACUGAAAGAGAUAACUGGAGACAUGCUAGAAUUCAGCUAAGUCACCCUUCGCAAACUGUACCUAAAAAUGAAUUCUUGGAUCGCGCGUUAUGAACGCUUCUGCAGAAAGUUCUACACCGUUUUUUAGGUCAUUGACAUUCGAUAACGCUAAUUCGCAAAUGAUUUACGUAGGCACAAACGCUGUUCGUAUUAACAACACGUCCUAAUAAGUUUUCUUUAAGAAUCGAUACUUUUUGAAAUAAUAGAUUGUGAAGCAUUUUGCCGUUCAGAAAACGACACUGGGGGAACAAAAACAGCUGAAUGGUAGCAUGAAAAUCAUGCCCUUGUUUAAAUAGACGAUGGUGGAACGUUUUUUGCAAUAGACUAAUGUAAAAUCCAUCUUGUGUGCAAGUAAAGGGUUUCUAACAACAAACAAAAAUCACAAAAUUUCAUUUAAGGGCAUAUAAUAAAGAGGAUUCGUAUUGAGCGGUGUAUUUGAACAACAAAAAUUGAACCAAGCAAAACUGUUACUUAAGAUAAGGUUAUUUUCUCAAACGUACAGAGAUAAAACGUUGGCCAGUGUGAAUCCUGAACUGUCAUGGUGAAUGCCUAUAGCUGUACAGAUAUGGGUUGUAAUCAGAUAAUCAAUUCAAAAAGAUACCGUUUUGGAGGGAAAUGCAAAACUCGGUUCUCAUUACAUAGUGCGACUACGAAAGCGUUUAGAUCGGAAACUAGAAAAUGAGUCAGGAAUACGAACCUAUAAGUGAUGGGUGUUAUUACAACAGAUCGAAAAAAUUGGGUAGAGGUGGAUAUGGGUUUGUUUUCAGUGGAAAGUAUUACGGUAAAGACGUAGCCGUAAAACGCGUCCAGUUGGAGGACAGUAAGCCAAUAGAAGAAGCCUUACUAGCUAAACUUGUUCACGAGAAUGUUGUCAAGUUAAUCGGUGAUGUUCCGGUUAACAAGGAUUUCAGGUUUUACUUGUUGGAGCUCUGUGCAGCUAGCUUAGACGAGUAUUGUAAAGGGAUUUACCCAGGCCCAAUACCUUCUGAGCCGGAAGUGCUUUACCAAUUGACCACAGGCUUGGAAUUCAUUCAUUCAUUAUGCAUCAUCCAUCGUGAUAUCAAGCCAGAAAAUAUUCUGAUUUCAAACCCAGAUCCUAUUGUCAAAAUGAAAUGGGCUGAUUUUGGACUUAGCAAAGCGAUAAAUGAAAAUGGUUCCUGUUCGAUGAGCGGAAAUCCUGGAACCCAAAAACUGGAAAGCACCUGAAGUUCUUGGUCUUCGAGUUCAAGGUGGUCGGGGUUCAAGAAAAACGACAUAUUCUCAACCGGCUUGGUUUUUUUCUAUUUUCUGACCCGAGUUCAUCCUUUUGGUGAAGAUUCGGAAAUCGAAUCUAACAUCCGGAAUAAUAACCCAGUUAAUCUUGACGAACUUGCUGACGAUCAUUUUGCCAAAAAAAUUGUUAUCAAAAUGAUUUCCCACAAAGUUAAGGAUCGGAUGGCCUUAAAAGAUAUCAUCCAGGAGUUGGAACCACUCCUUCCCCAAAAUUCAUCAAGGAAUUCUGAUAACCAAUUGCUGGCAAAUAGAGCACUUGGUGCCGAAGUAGUUGGCUCGUCGCACAAACCGAUACCCAGUGCAGCAGCCAAACUUCCUAAGAAGCCAACCCUAAAAAAAGAACCAAAAGAUAAUAUUAUGUCUAUUGGGGAUGUGCUUUCAGGAGCGAGAAAGAAACCCAGGUGGGCUAUCAAAGCCCGAGUCAUUCAAAAGUCGCCAUUUAAAUAUAUAGAUAGCCCCGCACCCAACAAACCAGGGCAGAAAUAUUUCGACUUGGUGCUAGAAGACGAAACUGGGAAAAUCCAAAGCAAGAGCCUGCACAGCUAAAAUUUGUAACAAAUUCUACAUGAAAUUCAAAAAAGGAGAGCAAUAUUUAAUAAAAAAAUUGAAAAUGGGGAAAUCUUCGGAAACCAUGGAGCCUAUUUUAUCCUUCCAAGGCAAAACCGAAGUCAGUCUGUGCUGAUGUCAACAUGGAACCUUUGCUUGACUGGCAUGGUUAGAAUACAACGUGGGUCCACUGUCGUGUCUGAUCACUACCAUUACACGUCAAGAUGCUUGUUUCAUUUUUUUUUUUCACAUUUUGAUUUUCAUUGCACCUUGCACGGUAAAAUGUGGAGCUUUCUUUUUACUCUAACGUUUAGUAUUUCCUAUUGGUUUUCUCCCCAGUUUUUCUUUCCCUGUCCAAAGAUUCAGUUUAUUAUCUAGCGUGACGAAAGCUAUGGCUUGUUAAGAUAUCCUUGUUUAUUCACAUUUUUUAAAUGUUAAUGUCCCCCGAAAAUUUGAUUCACAUUAAUUUACUUGUAGGAUAAUUAUUUUUGUAAUUUUUCUAAACAUUUGGUUGACACAGUCGCGAUGUCCGCGUAAACUGAAUCGGCUUUUGUAUUGUCUUCAACAUAAGGUUCAUAAAUUUAAGGUUGGGUCCUAAUAUUUUACUAAAAGUCUAUUGUCAUCAUUUUGCAAUUCUAAGCAGAAUAAUUCAAAAAUAAAUUCUUCGCCAGUUUCAACCACCA